ACGCUCGACACCUACGGGAGGGGCAGCAGUCGGGAAUAUUGCGCAAUGGAGGAAACUCUGACGCAGUGACGCCGCGUAUAGGAAGAAGGUUUUCGGAUUGUAAACUAUUGUCGUUAGGGAAGAAAAAAGACAGUACCUAAGGAGGAAGCUCCGGCUAACUACGUGCCAACAGCCGCGGUAAUCUGAGCGGGCUGGCAAGGC
rnacentral:rRNA from 1 species